AAAUAAUAAGAAUCAAGAUAUUCAUUUCUUUGAUGCUAGAUUGGGCAGUCUUGAUGCUGAAGAACCAAUUAGCAUCACAGAUGAAUAGCAUCAUCAGUUGCUGGUCAGAGAUACAGUAUGAAGGUCCUCUUUUCAAACUCAGAAUUUCCUUGAUUAAAAGGAUCAUUUGUAUUUAGUGUUUUAAACCUUGGAUCCAGUUGCAUCUGAAACAUUUUAAUUGAGCCAUGAUAAUGACCCAGCUCUGAAGUUGUCAGUGAUAUAUUCACAAGUAUGAACCUUUUAGAAGAAUUCACCUCACACUUGAAGAAAGAUAUAUUUGGACAAGUGACUGUAUGUGUGAAAGUGGAGUAAAGUGGGUGGAAGGAAGGUAACUAAAAGUCAGGAGACUUUGAAUCUGGUUCUUAUUGAACCAUAACUUAAUGUAAAUCUGAGUAAAUUACUUAACCUCUUCCAGUUGAAAUGAAGGCAUUAAGAUCUUUCAUGUAUUUCCAAGCUGUAAAAAGAUGUGCUUCUGUGGAAACCUCAUGCAGCAGCGUCCCCUGGUAACUGAUGAUAUUGCAGAAUUACAGCUGUUGAUUGGAGAGUAUGAUCUGCACUUCUUUACAGUUAGUGACUCUGAUAAGCUAAAGGAAAUAGAAAGCUAGUCAAUCAGUUAACACGAGUACAAGGGUUUUUCAAGUUUGUGUCCUGAUACUGUCAUGAUUUCAGUGGCAUCUAAAGAAUACACAUAGGCAAGGAUCAUGGAGCAGGCCCUCUAUGUGGAAUGAAGAUCUCAAAAGUAACUCUGCAGAGCUCUCAACCUGACAGCAUAAGGCCACCGUCCAAAUCAAAGCAUGCAGAGGCUGACAGUGAUCUCUGGACUGAACUUCUUCACUGGAAGCAAGAACAGAAGCAGUGCUCUCAACUGCUGUUUUCUGAAGGUGCCUAAGGAGAGCUCCUGAGGAAAAGGUCAUUGAAACUGCUAUGACAAAUACCAUCAAAUGGAUUGCUUACACAACAAAAAUUGAUUUCUCACAGUUUGAGAGUCUAUGAAGUCAAAGAUUAAGGCUCUCACACAUUUCAUGUCUGGUAAGAGACCACAGUCUUCUCAUUGUGGCUUCACACAAUAGAAAAGUUGAGUGAGCUCUCUAGGAUUAUCAGGGCACUAAUCCUAUGCAAGAGGACUCCACCCUCAUGACCUAAGCACUUGUUAAAGGUACCACCUCCUAAUACCAUCAUACUGGGGUAGGAUUUAACAUGAAUUUUGGGAAGGAUACAAAUAUUCAAUCUUAACGUCUUCUAUCUGUUCAAGUCUGUUGCCUAUGCUUAAAUCAGGAUUUUGUUUGGUUAGUGGUGGUUGUUCUCUUUUGGUUUUGUUUUGUUUGGGUUUUUGUUGUUUUAAUUUUUUAUUUCUUUUCUGCUCCUAAGUUCUAACUAAAUAAUCCCUUAUUUAGUUAGAAAAUUGACCCCUUAUCACAUAUAUGUUUUGCAAAUGUUUUUUACAAUUCUGAAUGUUUCCAUUUCAAUUUAUUUAUAAGUUCUGGAGAUCUGCUGUGGGAUAUAAUGCCUAAUGCCAAAAAAAUGGUAUUAGGCACAUUAAAAUUUGUUCAGGCUUGUUUUGUGGCUUAAUAUAUGACCUAUCCUGGAUGCAAUUUAUGUGUGUUAUGAAAAUGUUUAUUACAUAAACAUUUUAAAUAAUUUAGAAUUAAUAAAUGAAUACAGUAAAGUUUCAGGA